GUUCUUCGGAAUUAGAGACCGGCGCACGGGUGCGUAACGCGUAUGCAAUCUACCUUUCACAGAGGGAUAGCCCAGAGAAAUUUGGAUUAAUACCUCAUAGUAUAACAUGACCGCAUGGUCGAGUUAUUAAAGUCACAACGGUGAAAGAUGAGCAUGCGUCCCAUUAGCUAGUUGGUAAGGUAACGGCUUACCAAGGCAACGAUGGGUAGGGGUCCUGAGAGGGAGAUCCCCCACACUGGUACUGAGACACGGACCAGACUCCUACGGGAGGCAGCAGUGAGGAAUAUUGGACAAUGGGCGCAAGCCUGAUCCAGCCAUGCCGCGUGCAGGAUGACGGUCCUAUGGAUUGUAAACUGCUUUUAUACAGGAAGAAACAACUCUACGUGUAGAGUCUUGACGGUACUGUAAGAAUAAGGAUCGGCUAACUCCGUGCCAGCAGCCGCGGUAAUACGGAGGAUCCAAGCGUUAUCCGGAAUCAUUGGGUUUAAAGGGUCCGUAGGCGGUCAGAUAAGUCAGUGGUGAAAGCCCAUCGCUCAACGGUGGAACGGCCAUUGAUACUGUCUGACUUGAAUUAUUAGGAAGUAACUAGAAUAUGUAGUGUAGCGGUGAAAUGCUUAGAGAUUACAUGGAAUACCAAUUGCGAAGGCAGGUUACUACUAAUGGAUUGACGCUGAU
rnacentral:rRNA from 1 species